CCCCAUCCCGUCCCAGUCAGGGUACACACGUUUUUUUUUUUAUCCCUGGCCCUCUUGGAGCAAUCAGAGCAUGCAGGGAUGGGCAGUGGCUUUUGUCUCUGCUGCUCCCUGCAGUUGACCGCCAAGUGGCAAGUUAAUGGCGAAAUCCCCCGGGCAGUGCUCCAAGGGCUGUUUUUGAAGUGCAGGGCAGAAUGGAUGAUGUAGUGCAAUGCCCUUUAGGCCUCCCCAGCAGGAAACCCUCAGCACAUUGCCUACUACAUUCUCUUAAAACAUACAUAGGCUUACUUGCAUCAUGCUCUCUUGGUGGGUACAGCCUAUUAGCUCAUUGGUCAACCAAGCUGGACUGAGCGGUCAUAUUUGAUUAUAAUCCAAGCCCUGUGUCUGCAAAGUUUGAGGAAGACUGAGGUCCAGCUCCAUGUGGUGGAGAUUUGAAGAUGCGUGUGGUUGAUCUGGAGGGUGUAUGACCUUCCAUUGCCGGGUCACUGCUUGUAUUCUUUUCCUUUUGUCUGAGAUUCCUGGGAAACCCUCUCUCUAACAUAGCGUUAUCAAAAAAGUCUUACUGUAAAGUUACAGACAUGGUAAAAUCCUACAUUUGCAAGGUACCUAGGCUAGAAUGGCAUCAAAGAUGACACCAGAGAUUGACUUGUGCUAACAAAAUUUGUCCAAUCAAUGAAAAAGACUGAAAAAUGUGAUUGUGAUAUAGCAUAAGGAGACUGCUUACAGGCAAUCGUGUUCUUAAAUUAACUCUAUGAUAACUAAUAAAAAAAGGUAAAAAUAUCCCAAAUUUUAAUGGGGAUCAACUGCAGAAGCCUUGUUCUUUGCAUUGAACCUUCCACAGACUGUGGACCAGAUUGACGAAGACUGGGCUUUGAUCAAACACAGACUGGCGAAAUGUUCACAUAGUUUCUGGACCAGUAAAAGUCCAUUUUAAUACUUUUAUUAGUUAAUGGCUGUAAUGACAGGAUGUCUCUCCAACAGUUGAAUAUUUCUGCAGUUUAUUGAGUCCAACCCUCAGCAUCUGCAAGUGGG
rnacentral:lncRNA from 1 species